rnacentral:rRNA from 1 species
GAUUGUGACUAAGUCACCAGCAAUGUGCUUGAUCUCAUUCGAUCUUGGAAGCUAAGCGUGUUUGUUCCUGAGCAGUACUUGAAUGGGCGACCACAAUGAAUACCCGGUGUUAUAGACU